rnacentral:rRNA from 1 species
AUCUAUCAUCAUAGCACCCUGAACACACCCAAUCUCAUCUGAUCUCGGAAGCUAAGCAGCAUCAGGUCUGGUCAAUACUUGGAUGAAAGAUU